rnacentral:lncRNA from 1 species
UAGUGCAAUGAAAAAAGAACAAGAUCCUGAUAGUUACAUCACUUUAUUUUCAUGAGGCUCCCUAACUUAGCUUGAGCAGACUGCUGGUCUGAAGGUGACCUAGGUUCUGGAGGAAUUUCAAGGCUCCGUUUCAUGGGUAACUGGAGACCACAAAGAUUGCCAUGUUAACGUAAUUGAUAUUCAAUUCCUUCUGUGUGGAUGCAACCCUGGAAAUGAUUAUUUUGCUGCAUAAAAAAUAAAAGAACACGCUGAAGGAAGAUCUUAUUGAACCUAGGAUGGCUUCAU